UACGAAGGUCCCAAGCGUUAUCCGGAUUUAUUGGGUUUAAAGGGUGCGUAGGCGGGCUAUUAAGUCAGUGGCGAAAGCCCCAAGCUUAACUUGGGAACUGCCAUUGAUACUGAUGGUCUUGAGUACAUUUGAGGUGGGCGGAAUGUGUCAUGUAGCGGUGAAAUGCUUAGAUAUGACACAGAACACCGAUUGCGAAGGCAGCUCACUAAACUGUAACUGACGCUGAGGCACGAAAGCGUGGGGAGCAAACAGG
rnacentral:rRNA from 1 species